CCUACGGGUGGCUGCAGUAGGGAAUCUUCCGCAAUGGACGCAAGUCUGACGGAGCAACGCCGCGUGAGUGAAGAAGGUUUUCGGAUCGUAAAACUCUGUUGUUAGAGAAGAACAAGUGCUAGAGUAACUGUUAGCGCCUUGACGGUAUCUAACCAGAAAGCCACGGCUAACUACGUGCCAGCAGCCGCGGUAAUACGUAGGUGGCAAGCUUUGUCCGGAUUUCUUGGGCGUAAAGCGAGCGCAGGCGGUUCCUUAAGUCUGAUGUGAAAGCCCCCGGCUCAACCGGGGAGGGGCAUUGGAAACUGGGGAACUUGAGAGCAGAAGAGGAGCGUGGAAUUCCAGGUGGAGCGGUGAAAUGCGUAGAGAUAUGGAGGAACACCAGUGGCGAAGGCGACUCUCUGGUCUGUAACUGACGCUGAGGCUCGAAAGCGUGGGUAGCAAACAGGAUUAGAUACCCCAGUAGUC
rnacentral:rRNA from 1 species